GUUCUUGGUCUGUCUCCUCCCCUCUCACUGCAGACAUGAAACACUGGCUGAGAAACAUCCUGAUUCUGACUCUCUGGAUAGAGUGUAAAGGAGAAGACAAAGUGACCCAGCCAACAGGAGAUGUCACUGCUGUUCAAGGACUCACACUGACUCUACAAUGUGCAUUUGAGACCAGCAGCACUAAUGCAUAUCUGUACUGGUACAAACAAGAAGUGAAUGAUUAUCCCAGAUACAUGUUACAGAGAUACAGAUCAGGAUCAGCAACAAUUAAAGCUCCUGAGUUCCAGGAUGACAGAUUUGACGCCGAGAUCAACCAGACCUCAUUUCCUCUGAAGAUCCAGAAGCUUCAUGUGUCAGACUCUGCUGUGUACUACUGUGCUCUGCAGCCCACAGUGACAGGAAACAGCCUCACUGUGACCUUUUACACCAUCAAUCACCACAUCCUCCUGAACAGCCUCCACACUGAUACUGGUCUCUGUCACACCACUAUGGACUGGUUCACCUCCUGUCUCUGGGGUCUGUCCUGGUCCCACUCCUCUUCAUCCUAUACAUGCUGCCACUCAGCCGUGUCAUCAGCCGUCAUGGUGUCUGCUUUCAUUGUUACGCUGAUGACACACAACUGA